AUUGAACGCUGGCGGCAGGCUUAACACAUGCAAGUCGAACGAGUGGCGGGGGGGUGAGUAAUGCUUGGGACUCUCGCUUAUGGAGGGGGAUAACUACGGGAAACUGUAGCUAAUACCGCGUACCAUCAGAUGCGCCCAAGGGGGAUUCGGUAGUUGGUGGGGUACAGGCUCACCAAGCCGACGAUCUCUAGCUGGUCUGAGAGGAUGACCAGCCACACUGGGACUGAGACACGGCCCAGACUCCUACGGGAGGCAGCAGUGGGGAAUAUUGCGCAAUGGGGGCAACCCUGACGCAGCCAUGCCGCGUGUAUGAAGAAGGCCUUAGGGUUGUAAAGUACUUUCAGCGGGGAGGCGUUACCCGCAGAAGAAGCACCGGCUAACUCCGUGCCAGCAGCCGCGGUAAUUC
rnacentral:rRNA from 1 species